UUGAUGGCUCCAUCAGUACAGCAUGAGACUCUUAAUCUCAGGGUUGUGGGUUCGAGCCCCACAUUGGGCAAAA